GUGCUCACUUUGGCAGCACAUAUACUAAAAUUGGAAGAAUAGAGAGAUUAGCAUGGCCCCUUCAUAAGGAUGACAUUCAAAUUUGUGAAGUGUUCCAUAUUUUU
ensembl:snRNA LOC120102576 U6 spliceosomal RNA